ACGCUCGACACCUACGUGAGGCAGCAGUGGGGAAUAUUGCGCAAUGGGGGAAACCCUGAUGCAGCGACGCCGCGUGGAGGAAGAAGGUCUUCGGAUUGUAAACUCCUGUUGUUGGGGAAAAAGAGGAUGGUACCCAACAAGGAAGUGACGGCUAACUACGUGCCAGCAGCCGCGGUAAUCUGAGCGGGCUGGCAAGGC
rnacentral:rRNA from 1 species